rnacentral:misc_RNA from 2 species
UUGUACACACCGCCCGUCACACCAUGGAAGUUGGUCACGCCCGAAGUCGUUACCCCAACCGAAAGGAGGGGGAUGCCUAAGGUAGGACUGAUGACUGGGGUGAAGUCGUAACAAGGUAGCCGUACCGGAAGGUGUGGCUGGAUCACCUCCUUUUAGGGAGACCUAAUCCAUUUAGAAAUCGAAAGCAGUGAAAAUUGUGGGUAGAAACUAAAUUGGUCUAACCUAGGUCGGUCGCAGACUUGAAGUAAAGCUUUCAAACUAUGAUUUGGUUCGAUAAGGGCUAUUAGCUCAGGUGGUUAGAGCGCACCCCUGAUAAGGGUGAGGUCCCUGGUUCGAGUCCAGGAUGGCCCACCUGAAGGAAGUCAAAAAUCAAAAGUCAAAAGUCAAAAUUAAAUAUUUUUGAAGCAUGACUAGAAAUUUUGAGUUCUUUUUGGGGGUUUAGCUCAGUUGGUAGAGCGCCUGCUUUGCAAGCAGGAUGUCAGCGGUUCGAGUCCGCUAACCUCCACAUUGGAAAAAAAACAGCACCUAACUAUAAAAGUUAGACUGCUGGGUGAAAUUCCAGCCAGAACCUUGAAAACUGCAUAAGAGAACGAGAAAAAGCAGGCAGACACAGACAUUUAGAUGGAUGUGAAAGCAAAGAAAAAUUGUGGUCAAGCUAAUAAGGGCUAAUGGUGGAUACCUAGGCACACAGAG